UACAGAGGUCUCAAGCGUUGUUCGGAUUCAUUGGGCGUAAAGCGCGCGUAGGCGGAUCUGCAAGUCGGGGGUGAAAUCCCGAGGCUCAACCUCGGAACUGCCUUCGAUACUGCGGGUCUCGAGUCCGGGAGAGGUGAGUGGAAUUCCUAGUGUAGAGGUGAAAUUCGUAGAUAUUAGGAAGAACACCAGUGGCGAAGGCGGCUCACUGGCCCGGUACUGACGCUGAGGCGCGAAAGCGUGGGGGGCAAACGGG
rnacentral:rRNA from 1 species